rnacentral:lncRNA from 1 species
GACAGUCACCAGGAGCAAUGGACACGAAGCCCCCAGCCCCAGCUGUGCAUCUCAGGGGCUCCGUAAACAUUGGCCCCUCCAUCCCAAGGGAGUCAUGGCGGCAACUGGGUUGGGGGCUAGGGCCACAAUGGACAAGACAGCAUCUGUGGAUGAGGAGCUGUCCCCUGCCACCUGAUCUCCAGCAGGCACAUUCACCUGUGCUCUCCAGCAGCCAUGUGUACCCAGACAGUGGCAGGCAGUGUUUGGACGGAAAAGGAGAAACCACCUCUGGUGCGGAGGGCUGGGGAGAACUCACGCCAGUGACUGUGUGUUCUGGGACACACUGGACGGAAGGCAGCCUGUCCAUGAUGAACCACACAGCAGCAGCAGCAGCAAGACCAGUGAUGGCCUGAGCGAUCCCUGGUGAGUGUACUCAAUUGCUGUGAUCUCCUUCCUACCCAAAUCAUCUAAUGAUUAAAUUCACUGUGAGAAAUCUAUUACUUUCUUUAACAAGUGAAAGGUUGGCAAAGAAAACUUACUCAUGAGAUCUCAUAACAUUUGCAAAACGGUAUCCUGAAAGGGUGCUUCGGCCAUAACUAAUAUAAGCAAAACUGGACCUAUUCACCCACACUUGGACUAUGUUCUUCAUUCUUUGGUGAAGGAAAACUUUGGUCUACUCCCUCUUUCUUUUUGGUCCUUCUUUUUUCAAAAAUAAUGGUAAGAUUCACUUGCAGUGUUGGGAGCACCUUUCUCUCUCAUUCAGUGUGAGCAUAUGUAUGUGGGGGCGUGUGUUCUGACUCCAUCCUGAUUCCAAGUCAUGGACCAUUAAUGUCUGACUGCAAAACUAAGGAGCCACUAAAUA